CAUCCCUUCUGUUUGUUAUACAUAUAUAACAUUCACAAAUCACAGAAUUGUAGGGGUUGAAAAGGACCUCGAGAUCAUCGGAUCCAACCCGAUUUCUCUAUGCCAUGGGGGCACUUUUUAAAGUCUGUAAACUUAGAGUGAAUGGUGGGCAGUGUCUUUGCUUCUUAAAUAGAGCCUUGUCAUCACAAUUUGCUACUCGGAGUCUUGAUUAUUUAAAAGAUUUUCGUUAGCUAACCAAAGUUUAGUUUUUUACUGUGUUGUGGUUUUGAGGUUGAAUGUGGGAUAUAUUUGAAUUUUAAACCAACACCAGAAGAAUUUACUAUAUCAAAGAGCUGGGGAUCACUUAAAACUUGGCAUCUGAUGAACCGCUUAAAAAAAUUAUGAUGCAGUGGGAAUUCUUUGCAUUCUAUGAAUCAUGUUAGCACUGUUUUGCAACAACUGGAAACAGGCUAAUGCAAUUUAAAAUUGCUUCUCAUGACUCCAUUUUAGAUUUGAGAUGGUUAUAGCACAUGUGCUUCUUAAACAAGAGAGACAACAGUGUUAAUUUGUCCAUGUAAGAGACAGGUUGCUUCCCUGGUUGACUUCUUAAAGCUAGACUUUUUCAGACGUCCAUUUUUGAUUUAAAAGCUGCCAUUGACAGCAGCCCACAACGUGGAUUGGUCGUAGUAUUUUCACUGUUUUUCAAAAACAUUGCUUUGUGUCUAAUGUGGAUUUGUUUUUCCUUAAGCUGUAUUUCUAUUGUUUUAUCAGUCUUUGAGAUCAGAUGCAGCCCAGAUUACUGAUGUAAUUAGUUUCUAAUUCUGCUGACUCUAGAUGAACUGGAAAAGGAAAAUGAGGAGGAAAACCACUAGAUAAUUGAGGGAAAUGGCUGAAUUUGAAUGUCUCAAAAUGUCUUCAGGAUGGGAACAUGGUGGGAAAAGUGGGAUUCUCAUAUAUAAAUGUAUGCUUGCCAGAACACAUUUAACUGCGGGGAAAAUUCUUGUGAAGUGUUCAAAAUAACUUGUUUAAGAAAGCAAGCCACCUAUUCUCAUGCUUCAUAACAGAAACUUGAGAGCUUUACAGGAGCUCUUCAGAAAAUGAGAAUUUUCAAUUAAUGAAAUAUAUGGCACUAUAUUGCCAGUAGAUGGCGUGUGCCCUGCAUCCAUGGUUAUCAGAUGAGUUACUUGGAAUUUUGAAAAGAACUAACAUAACACCCACGUUAUUUUUGUGUGCUUAGAUACAAAAUUGAAAGAGUCCUUUUGCUAUGCUGCUGCUGUUUCGUUGCAGAACCCCACUGAAUAUUGUCGAGGAGCAUUUGUACAUUUAUCAAAUUAUGUAGCAGCAUAGUUAUAUCACUGAUCUGGGGACGAAUAGUCUUUUGCAUAGCAAGAUAUGCCUCUCAUGGAGGGAAUGCUAGAGAAAAGCUGCACAGCCGCCUCCGCCUCCAUGGUUACGUCAGACAGGCUGCAGGGUCGUGAUCUCCACCCCUCUGCUCUGUGCCAAAUCGCCACACAGUGCAGGUCGUCUGCUGUUGUCCACAGACGCCUCUGCUCUCCCGUAGCAACUCGAUCCUGGAUGUCCUGCGUCUCACCACGAUUUCUGUGUCCGGGUGGGUGCUUGGAGUUUCUCAGCGUCUCUCAGGUGUUUUGGCUUCUGGCAGAUCUCUCUGUGUCUCUCAGGGCUCUGCGUGUCUCUGAAGUCUCUCUGUGUGUCUCAGCGUCUGCGGGUCUCAGCCUGUUUGGGUGCUAUAUGUUGCAGGAAGAACAGCCGAAAACAACGACAGACACCAGUGUGCAAAAAAAGCAAGCAGCAUCAAAGCACUCCUCCACAACAGAAGCCUCUAACCUUAGCCUAUGAUGGAGACAUUGCUAUGUAACGUAAAAAAGAAAUCCAAAUGUAGACAUUGACUGCCGUAACUGCUUUCUUUUUUGUAACUCUCAGACUUCUCAGUUUUUUGAGGAAUCUCCUUAUGUGUAAUAUACCAGACAGAACAGAAAUACCAGAAAAGUCUUGGAUCUUGUGCAACUUUUUUGAAGAGACUGGAAAAUGCAUCUCUUCCUGAUAUCAAAAGGAAUUAGUAUUAAAAAAAAAAAAAAAAAAAAGGCACCAACAAAAAGGCAUGACAAUCCAGAGGAAAAUGUGACGUUUACUGUAAAUGACAAGUUUGACACAGCAUCAUUAUGCACUAUAUUAGUGCAGGGUUCUUUAUUCUUCACAUAUUUCAACAAUGAAUUUUACAGUGUUUACAUUUCGUUCAAAGACUUUAAAACUGGAUCAUGUAUUUUGAGAAACACAAAGAAUAAUGAGCUGGAGUAUCUGAAGUUAUCUUGAAGUUUGUUAAAGUUUCUUCCUUCUUAUCCAGUUUUCUAGUCUGGAAUAUGAUUUCACUUCAUUUACACCUACAGGACAGAAUAAAGAUUGCUAAGAAAAAGCCUAGGUGGUUUCUUAACUGAAAAUAUUUUUUAAAAGGUUGAGUAGAUAGGUGUUCUGAUGAAUGGCUAGAAGAUUUGAUUGUAAUUUAAAAGUAUUUUAAAUUAAAUAAAACCAUGUAGAAACAUUAUGGCCAGUUUAAAUUGUUAUUCAGUUUAAUUAAUAUAAACUCUGCUUUUGUAUUAAAUUUUCUUAUCUGAAAUAUUUAUAAAUUCUUUUUUUUUGAAUUUAAUUACCUGACCUCAUUUAAUAUACAUCAAACACAAAAACAGUUUGUAGAAGGUCUUGUUUUUUUAAAUGUUUCAAAUCCACUGAAAAGUUAAAUGUUGUAAACAUCUGGGAACAUUUGAGAGGGUAUGUGUUUAUAAUAGUACGUGUUGCAAGUAAGAAAGUGCCAUCUUGUGGUAUUGACUUGUAUUUAUAAGCAAAUAAAAUGCUAAAGGGAGUGAAAAUAUUGCUUCUGGUAUGUUGAAUUAAAUGUGUGUAAACAACA